CAACCACCUUUAACAGCUAUAUUCAUAAGCAUUAUCAGAUCAGUGAUCUGGAAGGAAUCCUACCUUCUGACCAUUUGGUGAUUAUGAGGCAUAUAGACAUGUGCUAUAAUGUUCACCUAAAACCAACACCAUAAUAGAGUUCCUCUAAAGUAAACAUGUAAUGAAUGAAGAUAUUCCUUUAAAUGUACCAGCAGAUGGGUAGUUGCCAUAGCAACAGAGGAACACCAGGGGGUGAGAUGAAUUCCUUACUUGGUUGUGGCCACUACUCUUACAUUUCUCACUUCCCCAAUAUUCCCAUUUUCCACCUCUCUGCCUUGACUUGAUUUCUUCCUAAUGAAAUGCCCCUGGGAUGAAGUAAGGUCCAGUUCUAAAUUGCUGAGAAGGAAAAAGAGGGAAAUAUUUAGGACCUACAAUGAACAAGAUAGGUGCCUUGCAUAUGUGGAUUUUGCAGCUGUUUUUUUCUGGAAAGCAACAAAGACAAAAGACAGUCAGCCUUCUCCUAAAGAAGAGACACCAGUCUUACUGCCAUAACACCCACCCCAGCUCAUUCCAUUAUGAGCCCUGCUCCUGGGGCUCUCCUCUUCUGCAGCAAAACCAUUUCCCCUGGACCUAUUCUGUUGGACCUACUCCUUCUCUGAAAACAUUGUCUUUAGGGAGUUUGGAGAGAUUAGGAAAGGAAACAACUUGUCAAGCAUUAACUCACUCCCUGGAGGACCAGCCUGGAAAGCAAUUGCAGCAUCUUGUUACUCAAAAAUAGCUCUGAUACUGCAAUUUGAGGACACUAAAGAAUGAGGAACUACAUAAUAAUAAUGGACACAUAUAGAAUACUUCAAUGUUUAUAAAGUAUUUUACAUGUAUUUGACCUAAACCAGUGUUCUGAGGGAGGAGUCUUUGUGAUUAUAUUAUCCUCAUUUGACAAGUGAAGCCCACAGAGGCUAAGGGACUUGCCCAGGGUCACCUAGUAAAUAGAUGUUAAAAGGUGAGAGUCAAGCCCAGAUCUUCCUCACUCCCAAUCUAACACUUUAUCUCUUAUGCCAUGACAGACCUUAUAUCUAAUGUCAUCUUUAAAAAGUCAUGUAGGGUAUGGAUCAUAUGAACUUAAUUUCUGAACAUGAGAACUGGUUGGCAUUUU
rnacentral:lncRNA from 1 species